CUCGACCCCACCAGAAAAUGUUGUCCCACAUCGCCUGGUCAGAUAUUCCUUUCUCAAAAGCACCGGUCGUCAAGGGCCUGACCCAGAUCCAUACGCCCCCUGCUGCUCCUCUCUCCAGUUCGUCUUCCUCCUUCGGAUCGAGACCUUGGAGCCUGCUCCAUGGAUCUGUUCAUGGAGCCGAAUGGCGACUCGGAACAGAGGAUUAGCCAUGGGCAGACGGGGGAUACUGGUGCUGCGCGGCCUAUAGAGUCCCAGGCUUCUAUUAGCGUCGCCGAGGGUGACAUUCGCCGUGUCGGAGACCUCUGUAGCGGCGGCGGAAAUGCGUGAUUUGUUGGCGAGGACCCGCUCUUGCAAGUGUGUUCGGAGGCUACGAGCGGAUGGACACACAUAGUAAGGAUCAGGAAAGCCCCUCCGGAGCGCGAGUUCAACCAUAACCGGAAAAGUGCGCUUGAACUAUCCAUGAGGGCGUUCACAACGAAACAAGAUGGCAAUGUUGUCAACCCAGCAGUCGGCACCUCGUUUGAUUCAUUGGAUGAAGCAUAUCAUUCUAAAAUUUGUAUUCGUGGGAGGUUGGAUUUGGGAUAAGGUAUUCGAAAAGCAGGCUAAAUGUGGAGAGGGUGAAGUGCAUGCAGGAGAUAGUCUGUGGAUGUGCGGUGCAUUUUUUAUUUUGGUAUCAAUUAAGAAAUUAGCAAAUUGUAUAAAACCCAAAUGUUCUCGACUGACAAAUCACUGUAUGUCCAUUGGCAGGGUAAACCAGAGAGGGAGAAUACAAGAUCAACACGGUGCGACUGUGCUGCCAGGAUCAGGCUACCGAGGUUGGAUGACAAUGGAUGGUAUAUUUCAGAGCACCGGACGCUCUGUCAAGCACUUGUGGCGAGAAGAUGCACUGGCUUUCACACAAGCUGAUUGACCAGUACACUAAGGAUCUUGUUAAACAACUGAGAGAAAACAAUGUCAGUCUUGAAAAGGUUUUUAGCAUAGUUGGCAGUUUUUUUUGGAUCAGUUGACAAUGUGCCAUUUACAAAAAGGUCACUCAAGAGGCUGUGCUGCAAGUUGAACAAAGAGCAGUCUGAUUCAGAUGCCCGAAAAACAAUGGGCAUAGUUGCAGAGCUGAUGGCAAAUGAUCCAGAAUUCAACUAUAAUGUCCAGGUUGAUGAUGAGAGCAGGAUAAAAACACUUAUGUGGGUUAAUGGUUGCAGUGUGGACCAACAUAGGUGUUUCGGAGAUGUUGUACCAUUUGCUACCACAUACAGGAAAACCUAUAUGAUAUGCCAUUCGGGCUUUUUGUAGGAGUCAACAAUCACUUUCAGAGCAUAAUAUUUGGAGAUGUCAUGCUGAGGGAUGAGAAGGAGGACACAUUCAAGUGGGUUUUCCGUGAAUUCAUCAGGAUGGUUGGUGGCAAACACCUGCAAACAAUUUUAACCGACCAGGCGCGAUCCAUGUAGUUGGCUAUAGAAGCAGAGAUGCCUAAUACAACUCACAGGUGGUGUAAAUGGCAUGUGCUGAAGAAGGAAAAAGAAUCAAUGGGGCUUUGUGGAGCAAGAAAUAUAAUUUCAAGAGUGAAUUUCAGAAGUCGGUUCAUCACAUGGUCACAGAACAAGAAUUUGAGGAUGGGUGGUCUGCAAUGCUUGAUAAAUAUUCACUGAGAAAGUAUCCGUCGACCCAUUGCGUAUCUUGUCAUUGUUGGACCUAGCCAACCAUUUACACUGUUUAGCUGGUCGAUUUAAAAAAACACUAUUUAGCUGGUCAAAGCAGGGAGUCCGGCUAAUGUAAUUUGUAUGCUGUAAUUACUAUGGCAGAAGUGCAUGGAUACAAGGUUCACAAUGAACAGUGCAUGAUUAAAUAAAUUUUUUUGUUAGGCUAA